rnacentral:rRNA from 1 species
AGCAUAUCAAUAAGCGGAGGAAAAGAAACUAACCAGGAUUCCCCUAGUAACGGCGAGUGAAGCGGGAUGAGCUCAAAUUUGUAAUCUGGCAUCAGCCCGAGUUGUAAUCUACAGAGGCGUCUUCCGCGCCGGCCACGUCCAAGUCCCUUGGAAUAGGGUAUCAGAGAGGGUGAUAAUCCCGUGCUUGACGUGAUCCCCGGUGCNAUGUGAUACGUUCUCAACGAGUCNAGUUGUUUGGGAAUGCAGCUCUAAAUGGGUGGUAAAUUCCAUCUAAGNNUAAAUAUUGGCGAGAGACNGAUAGCAAACAAGUACCGUGAGGGAAAGAUGAAAAGCACUUUGGAAAGAGAGUUAAAAGUACGUNAAAUUGUUGAAAGGGAAACGAUCAAAGUCAGUNGUGGAUCAGGUUCAGCCCUCUGGGUGUAUUCCUGAUCCGGGUCAGUGUGGGUUAGGAUGNUGGGAGAAAGUNGUCAGGAAGGNGGCACCUCGNUGCGUUAUAGCCNGAUGAUAAACCACCGUCUUGACCGAGGCAUGAUGC